CCUACGGGAGGCAGCAGUAGGGAAUCUUUCACAAUGGGCGAAAGCCUGAUGGAGCAACGCCGCGUGCAGGAUGAAGGCCUUCGGGUUGUAAACUGCUUUUAUAAGCGAGAAAUAUGAUGGUAACUUAUGAAUAAGGAUCGGCUAACUACGUGCCAGCAGCCGCGGUCAUACGUAGGAUCCGAGCAUUAUCCGGAGUGACUGGGUGUAAAGAGUUGCGUAGGUGGCAUAAUAAGUAGCUAGUGAAAUCUGGUGGCUCAACCAUUCAGACUAUUAGCUAAACUGUUAAGCUCGAGACCGUUAGGGGUAACUGGAAUUUCUAGUGUAGGAGUGAAAUCCGUAGAUAUUAGAAGGAACACCAAUAGCGUAGGCAGGUUGCUGGGACGGUUCUGACACUAAGGCACGAAAGCGUAGGGAGCAAACGGGAUUCGAUACCCGUGUAGUC
rnacentral:rRNA from 1 species